rnacentral:tRNA from 1 species
AGGCUUUAGUAUAAUUUUAAUAUGAUUUAUUUUCAAUAAGUAGAUGUUAAGUCUUAU